CACUGAUCGUGAUCUGGAGCCGAUCACCUGAUGAGCCCAAGGCAGGGCGAAACCAGUC
rnacentral:hammerhead_ribozyme from 10 species